rnacentral:rRNA from 1 species
AGAGUUUGAUCCUGGCUCAGGAUGAACGCUAGCGGCAGGCCUAAUACAUGCAAGUCGAGGGGCAGCGCGGACUUCGGUCUGGCGGCGACCGGCGUACGGAUGCGUAACGCGUAUGCAACCUACCUUCAGCUGGGGGAUAGCCCGUGGAAACAUGGAUUAAUACCCCAUAAAGCAGGGGUCUCGCAUGGGACUAUUUGCUAAAGAUUUAUUGGCUGGAGAUGGGCAUGCGUCUGAUUAGUUAGUUGGUGAGGUAACGGCUCACCAAGGCGAUGAUCAGUAGGGGUUCUGAGAGGAUGAUCCCCCACACUGGUACUGAGACACGGACCAGACUCCUACGGGAGGCAGCAGUAGGGAAUAUUGGGCAAUGGGCGAGAGCCUGACCCAGCCAUGCCGCGUGCAGGAAGACGGCCUUCUGGGUUGUAAACUGCUUUUAUCAGGGAAGAAAGGGGCACUGCGGGGCCAGUUGACUGUACCUGAUGAAUAAGCACCGGCUAACUCCGUGCCAGCAGCCGCGGUAAUACGGAGGGUGCAAGCGUUGUCCGGAUUUAUUGGGUUUAAAGGGUGCGUAGGCGGAUUAUUAAGUCAGUGGUGAAAGUCUGCGGCUCAACCGCAGGAGUGCCAUUGAUACUGGUAGUCUUGAGUACAGUAGAGGUAGGCGGAAUUUAUGGUGUAGCGGUGAAAUGCAUAGAUACCAUAAAGAACACCGAUAGCGUAGGCAGCUUACUAUACUGUAACUGACGCUGAGGCACGAAAGCGUGGGGAUCGAACAGGAUUAGAUACCCUGGUAGUCCACGCUGUAAACGAUGAAGACUCGCUGUUGGCGAUAUACUGUCAGCGGCCAAGCGAAAGCGUUAAGUCUUCCACCUGGGGAGUACGACCGCAAGGUUGAAACUCAAAGGAAUUGACGG